CUUCCUCCCAUCCACGUGCCCUAACUUUCCCCCAAAUUUCCCCCAAUUUCUUCCUCCCCUCCGUGUGAAGUCCCGUCGCCACCACCAAUCCCCUCCUGCCCGUCCGUCGAAACCUUCUCGACCAACCCGUCGCCACCACCCCCGUCUUCUCCAAACCUCUUCAAUCAACCCGAAGCAACAAAAUCGUGGGCGUCGGUUGUCACCCCUCCCCUCCGCCGGAAAUCAAGGCCAAAGGAGAUGUCAUGGCUAUGGGCUGAAGCUUUGAGAAAAAAA